GAUGAACGCUGGCGGCGUGCCUAACACAUGCAAGUCGAGCGAACAGACGCUGAGCUUGUUCGUUUGACGUUAGCGGAGGACGGGUGUGUAACACGUGGAUCCUCUACUUAUCUGUCGGGGAUAAUUACGGAAAAGCGGCUCUAAUACCGUAUAAUAUCUUGAACCGUGGGGGUCAAUAGAGAAUGUCGGCUUUGGUGUCUGUACUAGCUGGUUCCGCGCCGGAUGAGCUGGUUGGUAAGGUAAAAGCCUACCAAGGCUACGAUGCGUAGCCGAGCUGAGGGGGUGAUCGGCCACACUGGAACUGAGACACGGUCCAGACUCCUACGGGAGGCAGCAGUAGGGAAUCUUCGGCAAUGGGCGAAAGCUUGACGGAGCAACGCCACGUGUGUGAUGAAGGUCUUCGGAUCGUAAAGCUCUGUUAUUAGGGAAGAACAGCUGUGGAAGUAACCAUGGACGUCUUGACGGUACCUAAUCAGAAAGCCCCGGCUAACUACGUG
rnacentral:rRNA from 1 species